rnacentral:lncRNA from 1 species
CCAAAUAAAUAUUACUAAAUGCUAUAUAAUAAUAACUAUUAUAAAUAUCAUUAUAAUUAAUUAUAAUUGUCACAAAAAAAAUAUACUAAAUAUUUGAUAAAUAAAACUUACAGCGGUAAUUAUAAUUAAUAUUAAAAUACUAAUUGAUUCACAACUAAAUACUCAAUGAAUUGAAAUAUUAAAAAAUAAGUCAUAAUCAAAAAACAAUAAUAAUUUGUAUAACAAAUAGUUUUUACUCUCAAAUUACAAUAUCAAUAUUUAAAUUAAAUUUCAGACAUGAGUUCUAACAAUAAAACACUUGUUCAAAAUUUAGCAAAAAAUAAUAAAUUCUAAAUGAUAUUAAACAUCUAUAAUAUCGAAAAAGGCAUUUGAUCCACACUAAAUACUCAAUGAAUUGAAAUAUUAAAAAAUAAGUCAUAAUCAAAAAACAAUAAUAAUUUGUAUAACAAAUAGUUUUUACUCUCAAAUUACAAUAUCAAUAUUUAAAUUAAAUUUCAGACAUGAGUUCUAACAAUAAAACACUUGUUCAAAAUUUAGCAAAAAAUAAUAAAUUCUAAAUGAUAUUAAACAUCUAUAAUAUCGGAAA